CGAACAUGGAUUGCCCUAGUAACGGCGAGUGAAGCGGCAACAGCUCAAAUUUGAAAGCUGGCCUUCGGGUCCGCAUUGUAAUUUGUAGAGGAUGAUUUGGGGCAGCCGCCUGUCUAAGUUCCUUGGAACAGGACGUCAUAGAGGGUGAGAAUCCCGUAUGUGACAGGACAUGGCACCCUAUGUAAAUCUCCUUCGACGAGUCGAGUUGUUUGGGAAUGCAGCUCUAAAUGGGAGGUAAAUUUCUUCUAAAGCUAAAUAUUGGCGAGAGACCGAUAGCGCACAAGUAGAGUGAUCGAAAGAUGAAAAGCACUUUGGAAAGAGAGUUAAAAAGCACGUGAAAUUGUUGAAAGGGAAGCGCUUGCAAUCAGACUUGUUUAAACUGUUCGGCCGGUCUUCUGACCGGUUUACUCAGUUUGGACAGGCCAGCAUCAGUUUCGGCGGCCGGAUAAAGGCUCUGGGAAUGUGGCCUCCACUUCGGUGGAGGUGUUAUAGCCCAGGGUGUAAUACGGCCAGCCGGGACUGAGGUCCGCGCUUCGGCUAGGAUGCUGGCGUAAUG
rnacentral:rRNA from 1 species